rnacentral:rRNA from 1 species
UACCCGCGGCCCGAGUGGUGCUCAUUAUUAUUGAGCCUAAAGCGUCCGUAGCUGGCCGGGCAAAUCUCCGGGUAAAUCGGGCCGCUCAACGGUCCGAAUUCCGGAGACACUGCUCGGCUUGGGAUCGGGAGAGGGUGAAGGUACUCCCGGGGUAGGGGUAAAAUCCUGUAAUCCUGGGGGGACCACCAGUGGCGAAGGCGUUCACCUAGAACGAAUCCGACAGUGAGGGGACGAAGCCCUAGGGCGCAAACGGGAUUAGAUACCCCGGUAGUCUAGGGUGUAAACGCUGCAGACUUGGUGUUGGGGGUCCUGCGUGGGCUCCCAGUGCCGGAGCGAAGGUGUUGAGUCUGCCGCUUGGGGAGUACGGUCGCAAGACUGAAACUUAAAGGAAUUGGCGGGAGAGCACCGCAACGGGAGGAGCGUGCGGUUCAAUUGGAUUCAACGCCGGAAAACUCACCGGAGGCGACGGAGGGAUGAAAGCCAGGCUGAAGACCUUGCCCGAUUCUCCGAGAGGUGGUGCAUGGCCGUCGUCAGUUCGUACCGUAAGGCGUUCUGUUAAGUCAGAUAACGAACGAGACCCUCGCCGUUAGUCGCGAUCUUACAAGCGAUUGUAGGAGCACACUAGCGGGAUCGCUGCCGUUAAGGCAGAGGAAGGAGAGGUCUACGGUAGGUCCGUAUGCCCCGAAUCUUCCGGGCAACACGCGCGCUACAAAGGUGGGGACAAUGGGACCCGACCUCGAAAGGGGGAGGCAAUCCUGAAACCCCAUCGUAGUCUGGAUCGAGGGCUGUAACUCGCCCUCGUGAAAAUGGAUUCCGUAGUAAUCGCGGGUCAACAUCCCGCGGUGAAUGUGCCCCUGCUCUU